rnacentral:rRNA from 1 species
GGGCUAAAACUAUGUGCCGAAGCUGCGGAUUUGACAUUAGUCAAGUGGUAGGGGAGCGUUCUGUAAGCCGAUGAAGGUGUAUUGAGAAGUAUGCUGGAGGUAUCAGAAGUGCGAAUGCUGACGUGAGUAACGACAAAACGGGUGAAAAACCCGUUCGCCGAAAGACCAAGGGUUCCAGUCCAACGUUAAUCGGGGCUGGGUGAGUCGACCCCUAAGGCGAGGCCGAAAGGCGUAGUCGAUGGGAAAAUGGUUAAUAUUCCAUUACUUC